rnacentral:rRNA from 1 species
UACGUAGGUGACAAGCGUUGUCCGGAUUUACUGGGCGUAAAGAGCGCGCAGGCGGUCGUUCAAGUCGAGUGUGAAAGCCCCCGGCUCAACUGGGGAGGGUCACUCGAUACUGAUCGACUCGAAGGCAGGAGAGGGAAGUGGAAUUCCCGGUGUAGUGGUGAAAUGCGUAGAUAUCGGGAGGAACACCAGUGGCGAAGGCGACUUCCUGGCCUGUUCUUGACGCUGACGGCGCGAAAGCUAGGGGAGCAAACGGGGAUUAAGAAACCCCGGUGAGUCC